rnacentral:lncRNA from 1 species
ACACUCACAGUUGAUGCCCAACUCCCAUUCUUCUUCCUCCAUCCUGUGUCACCAUCUUUCUUCCCGGAGGAAACAGCACCAACAUUUCUGCUCUCUAAUGGACUCGCACAGGAUAUGUAGCUGCUAAUUAAGGUACCACUAUCCUUGUUCCGCUACCUCAUAUUAAUUGCUUCAACUUAUAGUUCUAAAAACUCGCAACUUUGUGAGCAAGCACUAGUUACGCGCAAACAUACAACUGACUAAGAGAUGCUCUUCUAGGUGCUUGCAAGUGGAGGAGGCGUGGAUGGGUUAGAUUAUUUGAGCCUGGAGCUUAUUCCGUUUGUUGGGCACCUGGGCCUUGAUUCAGAAACUCAUCAUGGACAGGCGUGGAUGG